rnacentral:rRNA from 1 species
GAUCUUUAAAUCAAACUACAAAAUAGUUAAAAUAAGAUUAAAAGGACGCGGUAACCUUGACCGUGAUAAUGUAGCAUAAUCACUCGCCAUUUAAUUGGUGGAUAGUAUGAAUGGUUGAACGAAUAUCCCACUGUCUUAAAGAAAAUUAAAGGAAAUUGAAAUAAUAGUUAAGAUGCUAUUUUAAACUGUAAGACGAAAAGACCCUAUAGAGCUUAACUAUAAUCUCUAUUUAAAUAAUUGAAUAAUAUUUCAUAAAUAAUAGAGACUGGUAGUUUAGUUGGGGCGACUAUCUUCUAAAUAAAACGAAGACAAGCAAUGUUAAUAAGUAACUUAUUGUAUAAUAAAUUUAUUUAACAAUUAUAAAAAUAGGCUAUAAUGACCCGUUAAUUCUUAGUAAAAAGAUUAACGAUCAAUUGAUAAAAGCUACCUUAGGGAUAACAGGAUAAUUUCAUUUUAGAGUUCCUAUCGAAAAUGAAGUUUGUCACCUCUAUGUUGAAUUAA